GGAAGUCAUCACUACUUAAUUCACUUACCAGACAAUGGCUUGUUGCAAAGACAUCAGUCAUCACUACUUAAUUCGCUUUCCAAUUGACGUGGCACGUCGUGCAAUGCAAAUUGAAGAGUGCCUCAAGGUAAACAGGUCUCUUGUCCAGCUUGUGAUGAUGGUGAGCUCAAAAUCUGGAGCUGGUCUUCGAGGCUUAAGGGCAGUGCCGCAGUGCUUUCCAAGGUUGCUUGUUUCGCCAAACUAUAAUCCAUA